rnacentral:tmRNA from 1 species
GGGGCUGUAUUAGCUUCGACAGAAGGAUUUUAGAUUCUAUAUUGCAAGCUGGUAAGCUGCGACCAUAAACAGCGCAAAAUUUAAGUGCAAAAACACUUAGCGAAAAAGUUAAAACUGCUUUUGCAGGGCUAGCUUUUUCACCAGUUGCCGCUUAAUUGCGACAACCGCUUACUUGAGAUCUGCUCGAAUUUCAAGAUUAAGUGCCAUACUUCGAGUUGCACUUAACUUGACUCCUUAACGGGUUAAGUAAAGAUUUAUUAGGGAUAGAGUUGGUGAUUUUUUGCAGCGAUUUUACCAUCAAUUCGAAACACUUAAUCGCUGAUAAGCUUGUAGAAAAUAUUGAGUCUACCUUUUGGACAGGGGUGCAACUCCCCUCAGCUCCACCA